GAUGAACGCUGGCGGCGUGCCUAAUACAUGCAAGUCGAGCGAACAGAUAAGGAGCUUGCUCCUUUGACGUUAGCGGCGGACGGGUGAGUAACACGUGGGUAACUUACCUAUAAGACUGGAAUAACUCCGGGAAACCGGGGCUAAUGCCGGAUAACAUGUUGAACCGCAUGGUUCUACAGUGAAAGGCGGCUUUGCUGUCACUUAUAGAUGGACCCGCGCCGUAUUAGCUAGUUGGUGAGGUGACGGCUCACCAAGGCAACGAUACGUAGCCGACCUGAGAGGGUGAUCGGCCACACUGGAACUGAGACACGGUCCAGACUCCUACGGGAGGCAGCAGUAGGGAAUCUUCCGCAAUGGGCGAAAGCCUGACGGAGCAACGCCGCGUGAGUGAUGAAGGUCUUCGGAUCGUAAAACUCUGUUAUUAGGGAAGAACAAAUGCGUAAGUAACUGUGCGCGUCUUAACGGUACCUAAUCAGAAAGCCACGGCUAACUACGUG
rnacentral:rRNA from 1 species